rnacentral:lncRNA from 1 species
CAAUGUGCAGUUCUGAGAAGGGAUUCAGUGUGCCGUUGCUGGCUCUGAGAAGUAGGAGCCUUGUGCAAGGAUUCAGGAGAGGCCUCUAGAAACUGAGGAUGGCCCUCAACUGGCAAGCACAGGCAACUGAAUUCGGCCAGGCAUCUGGGUCCUGUGCUAGGGGCUAGGAAGACAAAGAGAAACAGAGUCACAUCCUCCCACAAAAAUCCAUGAGAUGUCGGAGAGCCGAACUUGUAAACAGCCAUCAUCAACACAAAGAAGGAUGCACUGAUGCUCUCUAGAGGCUCACAGGAAAUGAUUCAUGGGCAUAGAGGUGUGCAAUUUGCUUCCUGCCCCAGCCCUGACCCUGAGAUGCAGCAUGGAGGGAGUAGAGGGGUGGGGUUUGCGAAGUCACUUCCAGUCAUCGUGGGACCUUUAUGGAAACCUGGGCUCCACUCCACAGGAUGAGUCUCAACUGGAACCCUUGCCCAUUGGGCUCACUGUUCCAAUCUAAAGGGCAGGCUUUCCACUACUCUUUGGGACUUGUAGUUUGUGGGUUUUUUUCACAUGCACAUCAUCUUACUUACAGUUCCCCAAGAAUAAAAGCUUUCCAUCUCAA